UACGGGGGGAGCAAGCGUUGUUCGGAUUUACUGGGCGUAAAGGGCGCGUAGGCGGCCAACUAAGUCAGACGUGAAAUCCCUCGGCUUAACCGGGGAACUGCCUCUGAUACUGGAUGGCUUGAGAUUGGGAGAGGGAUGCGGAAUUCCAGGUGUAGCGGUGAAAUGCGUAGAUAUCUGGAGGAACACCGGUGGCGAAGGCGGCAUCCUGGACCAACACUGACGCUGAGGAGCGAAAGCCAGGGGAGCAAACGGG
rnacentral:rRNA from 1 species